GAGGGUGUAGCUCAAUGGUAGAGCACUUGCUUAGUAUGCAUGAGGUCCUGGGUUCAAUCCCCAGUACCUUCA
rnacentral:tRNA from 1 species